rnacentral:rRNA from 1 species
CCUACGGGAGGCAGCAGUGAGGAAUAUUGGUCAAUGGGCGCGAGCCUGAACCAGCCAAGUAGCGUGAAGGAUGACUGCCCUACGGGUUGUAAACUUCUUUUAUAAAGGAAUAAAGUGAGGCACGUGUGCCCUUUUGUAUGUACCUUAUGAAUAAGGACCGGCUAACUCCGUGCCAGCAGCCGCUGUAAUACGGAGGAUCCGAGCGUUAGCCGGAUUUAUUGGGUUUACAGGGAGCGUAGAUGGGUUUUUGAGUCAGUUGUGAAAGUUUGCGGCUCAACCGAAAAAUUGCAAUUGAUACUGGCAGUCUUGAGUACGUGUUAGGUAGGCGGAAUUCGUGGUGGAGCGGUGAAAUGCUUAGAUAUCACGAAGAACUCCGAUUGCGAAGGCAGCUUACUGAACUGCCACUGACGUUGAUGCUCGAAAGUGUGGGUAUCAAACAGGAUUAGAUACCCUGGUAGUC